rnacentral:rRNA from 1 species
UACGAGGGGGGCAAGCGUUGUUCGGAAUUAUUGGGCGUAAAGGGUGCGUAGGCGGUGCGGUAAGUCUGUUGUGAAAUCUCCGGGCUCAACUCGGAGUCUGCAUCAGAAACUGCCGUGCUGGAGUGUGGGAGAGGUGAGUGGAAUUCCCGGUGUAGCGGUGAAAUGCGUAGAGAUCGGGAGGAACACCUGCGGCGAAAGCGGCUCACUGGACCAUAACUGACGCUGAUGCGCGAAAGCGUGGGGAGCAAACCGG